GUGAGAUUGAGCAUCUCUUCAUAAGCCUAUUUGCGUGUGUAUCUCCUGGAAAUAAGUGGUUUUAUAAUCAUUAUCAAGAAGGCCCUCCCAUUGUACUGGUUGCAUCUCUGUUUUUGUACUUAGGGUCACCAAGGAAGCCAGAGUGGAGGCUGCAGGGAAUAUGGAUUUAAAUGAAUUUUGGCUGUACCAUCAAGCAGUCUGAUCACUGAGGAAAUAUCAAAAGCUUCACCUGAGUGACUCAUCACCCAAAUUCAACAGAGAGUGAAGAGAAAUGUGCUUUCUGCUGAUAUUGUGCCCAAGGAGGAGUUAUAGACUUGCCAAAGAAGCUGCUUAUUUCACAGAAGGAUGGUGCUGGCUGAAAGAUACUUCCUUGAAACUGAGAGAUUGCUUCCUUAGACAGGUCUCCUUGAAGAGGUAUUUGAUUUGCAUUUUAAUUGUUGGAGCUAAAAACCGAGCUCAAAACUUUAGUUAUCUGCAUUGUUUCUGUUUGCAUUCUUGCAGUGUGUCACUUGGGAGCAUAUAGAAGUAAAUUAAAUACGUAUGUUUGGUUACACAUUAGAGUUUCACAUUUACUUGAUAAAAGCUGCAACUAUCCUUUAGACAAUAAGUACAUACAUAAAUAAUAAAAAGAUUGAUAAUGUCUAGAGUUGGCAAAAGUAUGGGGAAGUAGUUACAAUCAUGCUUACAUCUUGCAGAAAAAUAUUGAUUGCGGCAACAUUUUGGGGAGAUUAAUCUGGCAGCAUCUAGCCAAGCUUUAAGACUCUUUAAUUCCUUUAUCAAUUCAUUUAAUAAAAAUCAAGUGAGCACUUACUAUGUGCCAGGCACAAUUUUAGCUACCAGACAUAUGGCAGUAGAAAAAGUAAGUCCUUACCCCUGUGGGUGGUACUCUUAUUUGGAGUAGGACUGGAAACAGAAAAUAAACAAAUAAACAAGUAAAUCCAAAGUAAUUAAUGCUUUGAACAAAAUAAGGUGAGGUAGGAAGAGAAGAGCUACUUCUUUUGGGGAGGUAUGUUACUGGUUUUAUUUAGCAUGUUCAGGAAGGGCGCCGCUGAGAAGGUGACAUUUGAGUGGAGACCUGAAGAAUGUGAGAGAGUGGGGCAUGCAGACACCUAAGGAAAGACAGCUCCAAGUAGAGGGAACAAGCAAAUGCAAGAAAUUCUAAGGUGAGGGCUUGCAUCGUGUUGGAUUCAGGGAAUAGUGCUGAGGCCAGUGUGUCUGGAGUGAAGCGACUGUGGUGGGGAGUGGUAGGAGAUGGUGUCAAAAUGAUACCGAGGGUGAAGAUGAGCAGUUCACAAAAAGACACAGGUCAUCGAAGGACUUUGUCUUUUGCUCUAAGAGAACUGACAGACCACUGAUGGAUUGGGGCAGAAGACUGACACGUCUAAGUUUUAAUUUUUAUGUGCAUGAUAAAAGAACAAGGACAGAACAGGCACACUAGUUAGACUAUUGCAGCAAUCUGGAGGCUAUUGCUUUUAAUUUCUGUGUAAAUAAACACAUCAGAACAUAAGGCUCUAUGUGCAGGGGUGUUUGUUGCAACACUGUCUUAUAUCACCUCAUUACAGAAAACACUGAAUGCAUACUAUAUCGAUAGGGGACUGGUUGGAUAAAUACUGCUACAUUCAUACAAUAGAAUAGCAUAUAUGUAUUAUAAGAGUGAGUUAGGACUGGGUGUGGUGACUCACACCUGUAAUCCCAGCACUUUGGGAAGCCUAGGCAACAGGAUUGCUUGAGGCCAGGAGUUCAAGAGUAACCUGGGGAACAUAAUAAGACUCCAUCUACAAAAAAGUUUUAAAUAUUUAAAACUUAGGUGGGCAUCAUGGUGUGCACCUGUAAUUCUAGCUACUCAAGAGGCUGAAGUGGAAGGAUUGCUUGAGCCCAGGAGUUUGAGGCUGCAAGGAGCUAUGAUCACAUCACUGUACUCCAGCCUGGGCAACAGAGUGAAACCUGUCUCUAAAAAAAAAAAAAAAAAAAAGAAAAAGAAAAAGAGUGAGUUAGAAUUUUGAUCUACUUGGUCUGAUGUCAAAGCUUGUGCUUUUCUGUGGUUUAACUCCUACAUUAC
ensembl:lincRNA